UGCCCAGCAACUCCUAUCCCUACCUCCUCGUGGUACCGGCCGGAAACUAUUAGCAAUCUUAGGGAAGAUUGGGUAACCAACCCCGGUGGGAACUUUGGUCAUAGGCUGACAGGGAAGG
rnacentral:ribozyme from 1 species